GCCGAUGUAGCUCAGUUGGCCAGAGCACGUGAUUUGUAAUCUCGGGGUCGGGGGUUCAAAUCCCUCCAUCGGCU
rnacentral:tRNA from 1 species